GCGGACGGGUGAGUAACACGUGGAUAACCUACCUAUAAGACUGGGAUAACUUCGGGAAACCGGAGCUAAUACCGGAUAAUAUUUUGAACCGCAUGGUUCAAAAGUGAAAGACGGUCUUGCUGUCACUUAUAGAUGGAUCCGCGCUGCAUUAGCUAGUUGGUAAGGUAACGGCUUACCAAGGCAACGAUGCAUAGCCGACCUGAGAGGGUGAUCGGCCACACUGGAACUGAGACACGGUCCAGACUCCUACGGGAGGCAGCAGUAGGGAAUCUUCCGCAAUGGGCGAAAGCCUGACGGAGCAACGCCGCGUGAGUGAUGAAGGUCUUCGGAUCGUAAAACUCUGUUAUUAGGGAAGAACAUAUGUGUAAGUAACUGUGCACAUCUUGACGGUACCUAAUCAGAAAGCCACGGCUAACUACGUGCCAGCAGCCGCGGUAAUACGUAGGUGGCAAGCGUUAUCCGGAAUUAUUGGGCGUAAAGCGCGCGUAGGCGGUUUUUUAAGUCUGAUGUGAAAGCCCACGGCUCAACCGUGGAGGGUCAUUGGAAACUGGAAAACUUGAGUGCAGAAGAGGAAAGUGGAAUUCCAUGUGUAGCGGUGAAAUGCGCAGAGAUAUGGAGGAACACCAGUGGCGAAGGCGACUUUCUGGUCUGUAACUGACGCUGAUGUGCGAAAGCGUGGGGAUCAAACAGGAUUAGAUACCCUGGUAGUCCACGCCGUAAACGAUGAGUGCUAAGUGUUAGGGGGUUUCCGCCCCUUAGUGCUGCAGCUAACGCAUUAAGCACUCCGCCUGGGGAGUACGACCGCAAGGUUGAAACUCAAAGGAAUUGACGGGGACCCGCACAAGCGGUGGAGCAUGUGGUUUAAUUCGAAGCAACGCGAAGAACCUUACCAAAUCUUGACAUCCUUUGACAACUCUAGAGAUAGAGCUUUCCCCU
rnacentral:rRNA from 1 species